rfam:Acromyrmex echinatior unplaced genomic scaffold scaffold39, whole genome shotgun sequence.
GCCCCUGUGGCCUAAUGGAUAAGGCAUCGGUCUCCUAAACCGGGGAUUGUGGGUUCGAGUCCCACCAGGGGUA